rnacentral:rRNA from 1 species
AACGUAGGUUCCGAGCGUUAUCCGGAUUUACUGGGCGUAAAGCGCGUUCAGGCGGUUUGGCAAGUCGGGCAUGAAAUCUCUCGGCUCAACCGGGAGAGGUUGUCCGAUACUGCUGGACUUGAGGGCAGUAGAGGGUGGUGGAAUUCCGGGUGUAGAGGUGAAAUUCGUAGAUAUUCGCAGGAACACCAGUGGCGAAGGCGGCUCACUGGCCCGGUACUGACGCUGAGGUGCGAAAGCGUGGGGAGCAAACAGG